rnacentral:lncRNA from 1 species
GAAAGGAGAGUUUAAUCUGUUUUCCUCGGAGUUUAAUCUAUAUUCCAUAGCUUCUGGAAAAGUAAGUGGAUGAUUCCUCCCAAUUGCAGGACAGUAUGAAGGCCAUAAAAAACACUAUUAGCUUUUAAGUCAAGAUGUGAGCUGGAGUAUUGACAGCUCCAUAGAUUAGGGGUUUAUGUCUGUGCCUUAUUCAACAAUUAUAGCACCCAUGGUUGUGGUGUUAAACUUAUUCACCAAGGCUCAUGAUUAUAUCUUGAGGAUAAACAACUAAGGAAACACUUCUGACUUCUCCCUGAGAAUGGCUUCUCCUGUAAGAGUCAAGAUGCAUGAAGCAGGGAUGAUAUUUUCCUGUCGUAUUAUCUCACUGAGAAGUGCAGCUCAAUGCAAACCAUUGACUAUUUCUGCAGUGGUAUUAUUUACAGCAUAGUAAACUGAGAUGGCUAUAAAUACAGAGCUGUAAUAGUGACUGCCUCAUCUGGUGCACUCUUUCAUGUAUUAAAAAAAAAAAUAUAUAUUAAAAAAGCCUUGUGCACACAAGCUAGCAAAACAUUUGUUUCCAGACCUUACUAAUUUUGUAAUUCACACUGAAGCCAACACCCUUCCCUGACAGUGAUUGGGUUUCUAAUUAAGGAUUUAAGUCUGAACACAUGCUCUUAACUCCUAGUUUAAGACUACACCGUGUGCUGUAGCUAGGUUAUAUAUUUCCCCCAGACAGGGUUAGCAGUAAGAGUUGGUUGCAGUUGUUUCCCUGUGUUAGAAAGCAAAACUGAGAGCUCCAGAAGAAUCAUGUUUUCAGCAUGGUUUCCAAACAUCAGCCUAUUACUUCCCGCAUGGUUGGCUGGGUUAAACUGUGCUGCUUCAGGAAGAAGAAAAUGGCUGUGACAGAACUGAAGGUGCAUCAGAGAGGAGACAAGCCAGACAGCCCUGGCCUGAGCUCUCCUAGCUGGCUGGGAACAAGUGGAAUUGGAACCAUGGACUAAGAGCAUCCAGGAAUGAAUCGGGUCAAUCUUCCCAAAGCAUUGGCAGUGGUGUCUUGUACUCAGAAACUGCCUAGCUUCAUUAUUUAUUCAGUCGAGCUUUGCUGUUUCUGUUAGAUUGUAUGACAGAUAUGACAGCAGCAUGAAAGGUACUGACCUGAGGACAUUCUUUUCUUGUUUUUAGAGAUCGUAGACAACCAGUCACGUAAAGGAAAAUAUACCCUGAUUUUAGGGAUCUCUCUAUAAAUCAAAGAGAAUUUAAAAUAUUGAAUGCUCAUUACAACAUUCAAAAUUAUUGAUCCAUAAACUGUAAAUAUAUAUGCUACUAUUUAUUUGCUUAUUACCUUUCAAAUAUGUUCAAAACACUUUCAUUUUUUUGUGAAGAUUCACGAGUUCAAUUAUGCAUGAAUUUAAGCAGGUGGAUAUUCAUGCUUAAGGUGCCAGCUGAAAAUUUUAUUUUUCUUCACCUUUAUCAAUUAACUCUUUUCUGUUGUCCUAUGGUUACUAUUUAAUAAACUUAUAGAUCUACUGUCA